rnacentral:rRNA from 1 species
AUGGUCAACACGUGGGGCAUCGGGAGGGAUAAAGAGUCAUGGGAGAAUGCCGAGGAGUUCCGGCUAGAAAGGUUCCUGGGCGGAACCAUCGACUACAAUGGAAAGGACCCCCGGUUCCUACCGUUCGGCACAGGGAGGAGGGGGUCCCCCGGUAUGGCCUUUGGGACGCGCCUCGCAGAGCUCACGUUGGCUAACAUGUUGUACCAUUUCGACUGGGAGCUGCCGAGUGGUCAACAUCCAGAGUCGUUUGAGGUUGUCGAGGCUAGCGGGGUGUCGCCUGGCCUUAAGUCUGUCUUGAUCAUUGCCAUAAAACCUUUAUAA